UACGUAGGUGGCAAGCGUUGUCCGGAUUUACUGGGCGUAAAGAGCGUGCAGGCGGUCGUUCAAGUCGCGUGUGAAAGCCCCCCGGCUCAACUGGGGAGGGUCACGCGAUACUGAUCGACUCGAAGGCAGGAGAGGGUAGUGGAAUUCCCGGUGUAGUGGUGAAAUGCGUAGAUAUCGGGAGGAACACCUGUGGCGAAGGCGGCCUUCUGGUCCAGUACUGACACUCAAGUGCGAAAGCGUGGGGAGCAACAGG
rnacentral:rRNA from 1 species